rnacentral:rRNA from 1 species
ACACAUGCAAGUCGAGGGGCAGCAUGAUUGAAGCUUGCUUCAAUUGAUGGCGACCGGCGCACGGGUGAGUAACGCGUAUCCAACCUUCCGCUUACUCGGGGAUAGCCUUUCGAAAGAAAGAUUAAUACCCGAUGGUAUGAUGAGAUUGCAUGAUAGCAUCAUUAAAGAUUUAUUGGUAAGCGAUGGGGAUGCGUUCCAUUAGGUAGUAGGCGGGGUAACGGCCCACCUAGCCGACGAUGGAUAGGGGUUCUGAGAGGAAGGUCCCCCACAUUGGAACUGAGACACGGUCCAAACUCCUACGGGAGGCAGCAGUGAGGAAUAUUGGUCAAUGGACGAGAGUCUGAACCAGCCAAGUAGCGUGAAGGAUGAAGGUCCUACGGAUUGUAAACUUCUUUUAUAAGGGAAUAAAACCUCCCACGUGUGGGAGCUUGUAUGUACCUUAUGAAUAAGCAUCGGCUAACUCCGUGCCAGCAGCCGCGGUAAUACGGAGGAUGCGAGCGUUAUCCGGAUUUAUUGGGUUUAAAGGGAGCGCAGACGGGUCGUUAAGUCAGCUGUGAAAGUUUGGGGCUCAACCUUAAAAUUGCAGUUGAUACUGGCGUCCUUGAGUGCGGUUGAGGUGUGCGGAAUUCGUGGUGUAGCGGUGAAAUGCUUAGAUAUCACGAAGAACUCCGAUUGCGAAGGCAGCACACUAAGCCGUAACUGACGUUCAUGCUCGAAAGUGUGGGUAUCAAACAGGAUUAGAUACCCUGGUAGUCCACACGGUAAACGAUGGAUACUCGCUGUUGGCGAUAUACGGUCAGCGGCUUAGCGAAAGCGUUAAGUAUCCCACCUGGGGAGUACGCCGGCAACGG